rnacentral:rRNA from 1 species
AAGUCGUAACAAGGUUUCCGUAGGUGAACCUGCGGAAGGAUCAUUACCUUUUGUGGGAGUGCACACUGUGCCUCCUGUUCCACCCGUGGCUCUUCGUGCCUUCUGUUUCCUCGGCAGGCUCGCCUGCCAGUAGGACUCUCUCCACUCCUGUAAUUGCAAUCAGCGUCUGACCAUGAUACUAUUACAACUUUCAACAACGGAUCUCUUGGUUCUGGCAUCGAUGAAGAACGCAGCGAAAUGCGAUAAGUAGUGUGAAUUGCAGAAUUCAGUGAAUCAUCGAAUCUUUGAACGCACAUUGCGCCCCUUGGUAUUCCAUGGGGCAUGCCUGUUCGAGCGUCAUAUGUACUCUCAAGCCUUGCUUGGUGUUGGGUGCUUGUCCUGUCGAGGGACUCGCCUUAAAGUCAUUGGCAGCCGGCAUGUCGGUCUUCACGCAGCACAUUUUUGCGGAGAAGCCUGCACGUCGGACGUUCCAUUAAGCUUUCCACCACUUUUGACCUCGGAUCAGGUAGGGAUACCCGCUGAACUUAA